rnacentral:tRNA from 1 species
GGGGCUAUGGCUCAGUGGUAGAGCAUCUGUUUGGCAUGCAGGAAGACUCAGGUUCAAUCCCCACCACCUCUA